rnacentral:rRNA from 1 species
CAGUCGCCGCGGUAAUACGAAGGGUGCAAGCGUUAAUCGGAAUUACUGGGCGUAAAGCGUGCGUAGGCGGUUUGUUAAGUCUGCUGUGAAAUCCCCGGGCUCAACCUGGGAAUGGCAGUGGAUACUGGCAAGCUAGAGUGUGUCAGAGGAUGGUGGAAUUCCCGGUGUAGCGGUGAAAUGCGUAGAGAUCGGGAGGAACAUCAGUGGCGAAGGCGGCCAUCUGGGACAACACUGACGCUGAGGCACGAAAGCGUGGGGAGCAAACAGGAUUAGAUACCCCGGUAGUCCCUGUCUCUUAUAC